GACGAACGCUGGCGGCGUGCCUAAUACAUGCAAGUCGAGCGCUCAAGCUUGGUACUUGUUCCUACUGGAUGAGCAGCGGACGGGUGAGUAACGCGUGGGGAAUCUGCCUUUGAGCGGGGGACAACAUUUGGAAACGAAUGCUAAUACCGCAUAAAAACUUUAAACACAAGUUUUAAGUUUGAAAGAUGCAAUUGCAUUACUCAAUGAUGAUCUCGCGUCGUCUUAGCUUGUUGGUGAGGUAAAGGCUCUACAAGGCGAAGAAACAUAGCCGAACUGAGAGGGGUGUCCGCCACCAUGGGACGUGGAACCGGCCCAAGCUCCUUCGGGGAGCAGCAAGAAGGAAACUUCGGCAAUGGGCGGAAGGCUGGCCGGGGAACGCCGGGGGAGGGGAGAAGGGUUUCGGGUCGGAAAACUCCGUUGGUAGGGAAGAACGAUGGUUAGAGUUGAAAGCGCAUCAAGUGACGGUAACUACUCAGAAAGCGACGGCUAACUACGUG
rnacentral:rRNA from 1 species